rnacentral:misc_RNA from 1 species
AAGUCGUAACAAGGUAACCGUAGGUGAACCUGCGGUUGGAUCAUUAAUGAAUUUGGCUUUUGAAGCUAAUUUAAAAGGUUGAUGACUUUUAGUCAUUGACUGAAACACCAUUGUGAACUUGUUUUAUUUGAAAAAGGGUUGACUUGUAUUUUGACACGUUGUGUUGAAUGUCGAGUUAGCCUUGCUUCAAAUUCUUUAAACUUUGUAUUAUUUAAGUCUUAUCAAAUUAUAAAAUUUGAAACAACUUUUGACAACGGAUCUCUUGGCUCUC